rnacentral:rRNA from 1 species
CCUACGGGUGUCAGCAGUGAGGAAUAUUGGUCAAUGGGCGCGAGCCUGACCCAGCCAAGUCGCGUGAAGGAUGACUGCCCUACGGGUUGUACACUUCUUUUAUAAAGGAAUAAAGUGAGGCACGUGUUCCUUUUUGUAUGUACUUUAUGAAUAAGGCUCGGCUAACUCCGUGCCAGCAGCGGCGGUAAUACGGAGGAUCCGAGCGUUAUCCGGAUUUAUUUGGUUUAAAGUGAGCGUAGAUGGGUUGUUAAGUCAGUUGUGAAAGUUUGCGGCUCAACCGUAAAAUUGCAAUUGAUACUGGCAGUCUUGAGUACAGUUGAGGUAGGCGGAAUUCGUGGUGUAGCGGUGAAAUGCUUAGAUAUCACGAAGAACUCCGAUGGCGAAGGCAGCUAACUAAACUGCAACUGACAUUGAGGCGCGAAAGUGUGGGUAUCAAACAGGAUUAGAUACCCUUGUAGUC